GGAGAGUGUCGUGUGCCUGGUGGUCGCCGCGGUCUUCAAAACCGUUGAAGCCUGUUAAGGGCUUGGUGGGUUCGAUUCCUUCCCUCUCCGCCA
rnacentral:tRNA from 2 species